GGUUUGACGGUACCUUUAAAGGAAGCACCGGCUAACUCCGUGCCAGCAGCCGCGGUAAUACGGGGGGUGCAAGCGUUGUUCGGAAUUAUUGGGCGUAAGGCGCGUGUAGGCGGUCUGAUUAGUCUGAUGUGAAAGCCCUGGGCUCAACCCAGGAAGUGCAUUGGAUACUGUCAGACUUGAAUACGGGAGAGGGUAGUGGAAUUCCUAGUGUAGGAGUGAAAUCCGUAGAUAUUAGGAGGAACACCGGUGGCGAAGGCGGCUACCUGGACCGAUAUUGACGCUGAGACGCGAAAGCGUGGGUAGCAAACAGGAUUAGAUACCCUGGUAGUCCACGCCGUAAACGAUGAGUACUAGGUGUCGCGGGUA
rnacentral:rRNA from 1 species